AUCCAUCUGACGAGUCCCAAAUGGGACGAAACAUGCGUCCUGGAU
rnacentral:hammerhead_ribozyme from 1 species